UAGGGAAUCUUCCACAAUGGACGCAAGUCUGAUGGAGCAACGCCGCGUGAGUGAAGAAGGUUUUCGGAUCGUAAAGCUCUGUUGUUGGUGAAGAAGGAUAGAGGCAGUAAUUGGUCUUUAUUUGACGGUAAUCAACCAGAAAGUCACGGCUAACUACGUGCCAGCAGCCGCGGUAAUACGUAGGUGGCAAGCGUUGUCCGGAUUUAUUGGGCGUAAAGCGAGCGCAGGCGGAAUGAUAAGUCUGAUGUGAAAGCCCACGGCCCAACCGUGGAACUGCAUCGGAAACUGUCAUUCUUGAGUGCAGAAGAGGAGAGUGGAAUUCCAUGUGUGGCGGUGGAAUGCGUAGAUAUAUAGAAACACACCAGUGGCGAAGGCAGCUCUAUGAUCAGAAACAGAAGCUGAGGCUCGAAAGAAUGGGUAGCGAACAGG
rnacentral:rRNA from 1 species